CAGCCGCCACGGUAAUACAGAGGGUGCGAGCGUUAAUCGGAUUUACUGGGCGUAAAGCGUGCGUAGGCGGCUUUUUAAGUCGGAUGUGAAAUCCCUGAGCUUAACUUAGGAAUUGCAUUGAUACUGGGAAGCUAGAGUAUGGGAGAGGAUGGUAGAAUUCCAGGUGUAGCGGUGAAAUGCGUAGAGAUCUGGAGGAAUACCGAUGGCGAAGGCAGCCAUCUGGCCUAAUACUGACGCUGAGGUACGAAAGCAUGGGGAGCAAACAGGAUUAGAUACCCCUGUAGUCCCUGUCUCUUAUACA
rnacentral:rRNA from 1 species